rnacentral:rRNA from 2 species
UACAGAGGUCUCAAGCGUUGUUCGGAUUCAUUGGGCGUAAAGGGUGCGUAGGUGGCGUGGUAAGUCUGGUGUGAAAUCCCGGGGCUCAACCCCGGAACUGCACUGGAUACUGCCAUGCUUGAGUACUGGAGAGGAGAUUGGAAUUUACGGUGUAGCAGUGAAAUGCGUAGAUAUCGUAAGGAAGACCAGUGGCGAAGGCGAAUCUCUGGACAGUUACUGACACUGAGGCACGAAGGCCAGGGGAGCAAACGGG